rnacentral:rRNA from 1 species
AGAGUUUGAUCAUGGCUCAGGAUGAACGCUAGCGGCAGGCUUAAUACAUGCAAGUCGUGGGGCAGCGCGGGUAGCAAUACCUGGCGGCGACCGGCAAACGGGUGCGGAACACGUACGCAACCUUCCUUUAAGCGGGGAAUAGCCCAGGGAAACUUGGAUUAAUACCCCAUAAGAUUAUGGUGUGGCAUCACACAGUAAUUAAAGCUCCGGCACUUAAAGAUGGGCGUGCGGCUGAUUAGGUAGUUGGCGGGGUAACGGCCCACCAAGCCUACGAUCAGUAACUGGUGUGAGAGCACGACCAGUCACACGGGCACUGAGACACGGGCCCGACUCCUACGGGAGGCAGCAGUAAGGAAUAUUGGUCAAUGGACGCAAGUCUGAACCAGCCGUGCCGCGUGGAGGAUGAAGGCCCUCUGGGUUGUAAACUUCUUUUAUCUGGGAAGAAACCCAUCUUUUCUAAGGUGGUUGACGGUACCAGUUGAAUAAGCACCGGCUAACUCCGUGCCAGCAGCCGCGGUAAUACGGAGGGUGCAAGCGUUAUCCGGAUUCACUGGGUUUAAAGGGUGCGUAGGUGGGCAGGUAAGUCAGUGGUGAAAUCUCCGGGCUUAACCCGGAAACUGCCGUUGAUACUAUCUGUCUUGAAUAUAGUGGAGGUGAGCGGAAUAUGUCAUGUAGCGGUGAAAUGCUUAGAUAUGACAUAGAACACCCAUUGCGAAGGCAGCUCGCUACACUAUCAUUGACACUGAGGCACGAAAGCGUGGGGAUCAAACAGGAUUAGAUACCCUAGUAGUCC